UGAGCACCUCAAUAAUAGGGAAGGAGUCCGGAUCCGCAGUAACCGGAAUCGGGACGAAAGUCGGGACCUUCAUAACAACUGCCGUGCUCCAGGAUCCAUUCCAACACUCAGACAAGACACAUGUACAAUUAGAACAGUCAAUCAUUUCCGAUUCUGUAGUAUUGGUAUCAUUGAUCAAAAGGAACAGAAACGGAGAAUGAAGACAGACUGCUGCAGAGGGCAGUGUAGCAUUGGACAUCAGAGAAUUGAAUGAAAUGUUUUUAAGUCUCCUACCAUUAGCAGUGUCCUGUACAGAGCCAGACACAUUAAACAGCCAGCUCUGGACUCCUCUCAAUUGGGCCAGAGCAGA
rnacentral:lncRNA from 1 species